rnacentral:tRNA from 1 species
GGUGGAGUGCCCGAGCGGCCGAAGGGACACGCCUCGAAAGCGUGCGUCGGUGCAAGCCGACCGUGGGUUCAAAUCCCACCUCCACCGCCA